UGGGGAAUUUUGGACAAUGGGGGCAACCCUGAUCCAGCAACGCCGCGUGAAUGAAGAAGGCCUUAGGGUUGUAAAGUUCUUUUAUCUGGGGGCAAAUCUUAGACAUGAAUAGUGUUUGAGGAUGAGAGUACCAGAGGAAUAAGCACCGGCUAACUACGUGCCAGCAGCCGCGGUAAUACGUAGGGUGCGAGCGUUAAUCGGAAUAAUUGGGCGUAAAGGGUGCGUAGGCGGGAAUAUAAGUUAGAUGUGAAAAGCCUGGGCUUAACCUAGGUCGCGCAUUUAAGACUGUAUUCCUAGAGUUAGUGAGAGGGGUGUAGAAUUCCAAGUGUAGCAGUGAAAUGCGUAGAGAUUUGGAGGAAUACCGAUGGCGAAGGCAGCGCCCUGGCAUAUAACUGACGCUGAGGCACGAAAGCGUGGGUAGCAAACAGGAUUAGAUACCCGUGUAGUCC
rnacentral:rRNA from 1 species